UUCUUAUUGGAUAACUGUUGCGUGUCAUGUUCUGAUUGUAUAUCAAUUUCAUGGGAGAUGAAAUGCAUUGUUGUUGUCAUUGGUCAAUCAGAAAAUGACAUGUGAUAAUCAAUAUCA
rfam:Glycine max cultivar Williams 82 chromosome 3, whole genome shotgun sequence.